rnacentral:rRNA from 1 species
UCCUGACUGACCGAUAGUGAACCAGUACCGUGAGGGAAAGGCGAAAAGAACCCCGGCGAGGGGAGUGAAAAAGAACCUGAAACCGUGUACGUACAAGCAGUGGGAGCACGCUUAGGCGUGUGACUGCGUACCUUUUGUAUAAUGGGUCAGCGACUUAUAUUCUGUAGCAAGGUUAACCGAAUAGGGGAGCCGAAGGGAAACCGAGUCUUAACUGGGCGUUAAGUUGCAGGGUAUAGACCCGAAACCCGGUGAUCUAGCCAUGGGCAGGUUGAAGGUUGGGUAACACUAACUGGAGGACCGAACCGACUAAUGUUGAAAAAUUAGCGGAUGACUUGUGGCUGGGGGUGAAAGGCCAAUCAAACCGGGAGAUAGCUGGUUCUCCCCGAAAGCUAUUUAGGUAGCGCCUCGUGAAUUCAUCUCCGGGGGUAGAGCACUGUUUCGGCAAGGGGGUCAUCCCGACUUACCAA